UAAGGGCACCACAAGAACGCGUGGAGCAUGUGGCUUAAUUUGACUCAACGCGGGGAAUCUUACUAGGUCCGGACCGAGUUUAUGAUUGUCGUGCCGUGGGGCAUUACACGAUUACUGGAUGAGUGGUGCAUGGCCGUUCUUAGUUCGUGGUGUUAAUUGUCUACUUAAUUGUUUCUAGUUCCCGUAUCUCUCGGUGCGGAACUAUUAACGAACGAGAUCGAGACCCGUGGUUGCGUUGAGUGGUAACAACGUAAACUACGGGGAUCGCGUAAUACUCCACGGUACGAUUGAAAGACUCGGCAAUAACAGGUCUGUGAUGCCCUCAGAUGUUCUAGGCUGCACACGUGCUACAUUGUGGUUUCGUUUGUAUGCGUAGAUAUAUCUAUGGUCUAAGAUCCCCCGCACCGAGUCAUAACUGAUUCACACAGUUGGACUCACCGAUUGUCAAUUAUUCGGUAUCUCAACUAGGAAUGCCUCGUACGGG
rnacentral:rRNA from 1 species